AGGGUUCGAUUCUGGCUCAGGAUGAACGCUGGCGGCGUGCUUAACACAUGCAAGUCGAACGAAUUACUUUAAAAGAAGUCUUCGGAUGGAAAAUAAAGUAGUUAGUGGCGGACGGGUGAGUAACGCGUGGGAAACCUGCCCUAUACAGGGGGAUAGCCUCGGGAAACCGGGAUUAAUACCCCAUAAAGCUCUAGAAUCGCAUGAUUCAAGAGUCAAAACUCCGGUGGUAUAGGAUGGUCCCGCGUCCCAUUAGCUAGUUGGUGAGGUAACGGCCCACCAAGGCGACGAUGGGUAGCCGGCCUGAGAGGGUGAACGGCCACACUGGAACUGAGACACGGUCCAGACUCCUACGGGAGGCAGCAGUGGGGAAUAUUGCAACAAUGGGGGAAACCCUGAUGCAGCGACGCCGCGUGAGCGAAGAAGGCCUUCGGGUCGUAAAGCUCUGUCCUAAGGGAAGAAAAAGACGGUACCUUAGGAGGAAGCCCCGGCUAACUACGUGCCAGCCGCGGC
rnacentral:rRNA from 1 species